UACGGGGGGGGCAAGCGUUGUUCGGAAUUACUGGGCGUAAAGGGCUCGUAGGCGGCCAACUAAGUCAGACGUGAAAUCCCUCGGCUUAACCGGGGAACUGCGUCCGAUACUGGAUGGCUUGAGAUCGGGAGAGGGAUGCGGAAUUCCUGGUGUAGCGGUGGAAUGCGCAGAUAUCAGGAGGAACACCGAUGGCGAAGGCAGCUCGCUGGGACGGUACUGACGCUGAGGCGCGAAAGCGUGGGGAGCGAACAGG
rnacentral:rRNA from 1 species